UACGUAGGCGGAAAAUUAAGUCAGUUGUGAAAUCCUGCAGCUUAGCUGUAGAACUGUUAUUGAUACUGGUUUUCUUGAAUAUAGUUGAGGUAGGCGGAAUGUGUAAUGUAGCGGUGAAAUGCUUAGAUAUUACACAGAACACCGAUUGCGAAGGCAGCUUACUAAGCUAUGAUUGACGCUGAGGUACGAAAGCGCGGGGAGCGAACAGGAUUAGAUACCCUGGUAGUCC
rnacentral:rRNA from 1 species